rnacentral:rRNA from 1 species
UUAAGCGACUAAGCGUACACGGUGGAUGCCCUGGCAGUCAGAGGCGAUGAAGGACGUGCUAAUCUGCGAUAAGCGUCGGUAAGGUGAUAUGAACCGUUAUAACCGGCGAUUUCCGAAUGGGGAAACCCAGUGUGUUUCGACACACUAUCAUUAACUGAAUCCAUAGGUUAAUGAGGCGAACCGGGGGAACUGAAACAUCUAAGUACCCCGAGGAAAAGAAAUCAACCGAGAUUCCCCCAGUAGCGGCGAGCGAACGGGGAGCAGCCCAGAGCCUGAAUCAGUGUGUGUGUUAGUGGAAGCGUCUGGAAAGGCGCGCGAUACAGGGUGACAGCCCCGUACACAAAAAUACACAUAUUGUGAGCUCGAUGAGUAGGGCGGGACACGUGGUAUCCUGUCUGAAUAUGGGGGGACCAUCCUCCAAGGCUAAAUACUCCUGACUGACCGAUAGUGAACCAGUACCGUGAGGGAAAGGCGAAAAGAACCCCGGCGAGGGGAGUGAAAAAGAACCUGAAACCGUGUACGUACAAGCAGUGGGAGCACGCUUAGGCGUGUGACUGCGUACCUUUUGUAUAAUGGGUCAGCGACUUAUAUUCUGUAGCAAGGUUAACCGAAUAGGGGAGCCGAAGGGAAACCGAGUCUUAACUGGGCGUUAAGUUGCAGGGUAUAGACCCGAAACCCGGUGAUCUAGCCAUGGGCAGGUUGAAGGUUGGGUAACACUAACUGGAGGACCGAACCGACUAAUGUUGAAAAAUUAGCGGAUGACUUGUGGCUGGGGGUGAAAGGCCAAUCAAACCGGGAGAUAGCUGGUUCUCCCCGAAAGCUAUUUAGGUAGCGCCUCGUGAACUCAUCUCCGGGGGUAGAGCACUGUUUCGGCAAGGGGGUCAUCCCGACUUACCAACCCGAUGCAAACUGCGAAUACCGGAGAAUGUUAUCACGGGAGACACACGGCGGGUGCUAACGUCCGUCGUGAAGAGGGAAACAACCCAGACCGCCAGCUAAGGUCCCAAAGUCAUGGUUAAGUGGGAAACGAUGUGGGAAGGCCCAGACAGCCAGGAUGUUGGCUUAGAAGCAGCCAUCAUUUAAAGAAAGCGUAAUAGCUCACUGGUCGAGUCGGCCUGCGCGGAAGAUGUAACGGGGCUAAACCAUGCACCGAAGCUGCGGCAGCGACACUAUGUGUUGUUGGGUAGGGGAGCGUUCUGUAAGCCUGCGAAGGUGUACUGUGAGGUAUGCUGGAGGUAUCAGAAGUGCGAAUGCUGACAUAAGUAACGAUAAAGCGGGUGAAAAGCCCGCUCGCCGGAAGACCAAGGGUUCCUGUCCAACGUUAAUCGGGGCAGGGUGAGUCGACCCCUAAGGCGAGGCCGAAAGGCGUAGUCGAUGGGAAACAGGUUAAUAUUCCUGUACUUGGUGUUACUGCGAAGGGGGGACGGAGAAGGCUAUGUUGGCCGGGCGACGGUUGUCCCGGUUUAAGCGUGUAGGCUGGUUUUCCAGGCAAAUCCGGAAAAUCAAGGCUGAGGCGUGAUGACGAGGCACUACGGUGCUGAAGCAACAAAUGCCCUGCUUCCAGGAAAAGCCUCUAAGCAUCAGGUAACAUCAAAUCGUACCCCAAACCGACACAGGUGGUCAGGUAGAGAAUACCAAGGCGCUUGAGAGAACUCGGGUGAAGGAACUAGGCAAAAUGGUGCCGUAACUUCGGGAGAAGGCACGCUGAUAUGUAGGUGAAGCGACUUGCUCGUGGAGCUGAAAUCAGUCGAAGAUACCAGCUGGCUGCAACUGUUUAUUAAAAACACAGCACUGUGCAAACACGAAAGUGGACGUAUACGGUGUGACGCCUGCCCGGUGCCGGAAGGUUAAUUGAUGGGGUCAGCGCAAGCGAAGCUCUUGAUCGAAGCCCCGGUAAACGGCGGCCGUAACUAUAACGGUCCUAAGGUAGCGAAAUUCCUUGUCGGGUAAGUUCCGACCUGCACGAAUGGCGUAAUGAUGGCCAGGCUGUCUCCACCCGAGACUCAGUGAAAUUGAACUCGCUGUGAAGAUGCAGUGUACCCGCGGCAAGACGGAAAGACCCCGUGAACCUUUACUAUAGCUUGACACUGAACAUUGAGCCUUGAUGUGUAGGAUAGGUGGGAGGCUUAGAAGUGUGGACGCCAGUCUGCAUGGAGCCGACCUUGAAAUACCACCCUUUAAUGUUUGAUGUUCUAACGUUGACCCGUAAUCCGGGUUGCGGACAGUGUCUGGUGGGUAGUUUGACUGGGGCGGUCUCCUCCUAAAGAGUAACGGAGGAGCACGAAGGUUGGCUAAUCCUGGUCGGACAUCAGGAGGUUAGUGCAAUGGCAUAAGCCAGCUUGACUGCGAGCGUGACGGCGCGAGCAGGUGCGAAAGCAGGUCAUAGUGAUCCGGUGGUUCUGAAUGGAAGGGCCAUCGCUCAACGGAUAAAAGGUACUCCGGGGAUAACAGGCUGAUACCGCCCAAGAGUUCAUAUCGACGGCGGUGUUUGGCACCUCGAUGUCGGCUCAUCACAUCCUGGGGCUGAAGUAGGUCCCAAGGGUAUGGCUGUUCGCCAUUUAAAGUGGUACGCGAGCUGGGUUUAGAACGUCGUGAGACAGUUCGGUCCCUAUCUGCCGUGGGCGCUGGAGAACUGAGGGGGGCUGCUCCUAGUACGAGAGGACCGGAGUGGACGCAUCACUGGUGUUCGGGUUGUCAUGCCAAUGGCACUGCCCGGUAGCUAAAUGCGGAAGAGAUAAGUGCUGAAAGCAUCUAAGCACGAAACUUGCCCCGAGAUGAGUUCUCCCUGACCCUUUAAGGGUCCUGAAGGAACGUUGAAGACGACGACGUUGAUAGGCCGGGUGUGUAAGCGCAGCGAUGCGUUGAGCUAACCGGUACUAAUGAACCGUGAGGCUUAACCUU